rnacentral:rRNA from 1 species
AUUGAACGCUGGCGGCAUGCUUUACACAUGCAAGUCGAACGGUAACAGGCCGCAAGUUGCUGACGAGUGGCGAACGGGUGAGUAAUGCAUCGGAACGUGCCCAGUCGUGGGGGAUAACUACUCGAAAGAGUAGCUAAUACCGCAUACGAUCUAUGGAUGAAAGCGGGGGACCGUAAGGCCUCGCGCGAUUGGAGCGGCCGAUGUCAGAUUAGGUAGUUGGUGGGGUAAAGGCUCACCAAGCCAACGAUCUGUAGCUGGUCUGAGAGGACGACCAGCCACACUGGGACUGAGACACGGCCCAGACUCCUACGGGAGGCAGCAGUGGGGAAUUUUGGACAAUGGGCGCAAGCCUGAUCCAGCAAUGCCGCGUGCAGGAAGAAGGCCUUCGGGUUGUAAACUGCUUUUGUACGGAACGAAACGGCUCUGGUUAAUACCCGGGGCUAAUGACGGUACCGUAAGAAUAAGCACCGGCUAACUACGUG